UAGCAGUGUGGGACACAUAUACGACUGUCAACAGCUCAAACACAUGUGUUUUGGUGUUUCGUGACCCUUUAAGGAACAGCCUGAAUGGCAUUAAUUAAAGCAUGUAUAAAAUACUGUGUAACCAGAGCCCAAAACUUAUUUCCUGCCAAAUCUGCCAAUGGCCAGUAACAUGGGAAUGUAUACCAGUCAAGUGUUUAUACUGGACAUGCAGUUAUACUACAGUAACUCAUAGUGAUGGGUCAUUCUGUAAUGAUUCGUUCAUUUGAUGAGUCCUCUCGAGGAGUGAUUCAUUCAUUUGCACACAUUUGUGCAGAUGGAGGAGGAGAUUAGUUGUUUUUUCGAGUCUUCUAUCAGGUUUGAGUUGUUUGUUCAUCACCUGAAAGACAGAAGCCAAUCAUAUCUAGUCAGAGCUGGAAAAAGAUUGGAUCCGUUCAUCUCUCGAGUCCUCGGUUCGCCACUUUAAACAAACUUAAUACGCAUCACAGCAGCUUAUAUCCACAAUAAUGAUGUCAUAUAUUUAUCAGAGUACUGUUAAAUAUUAGCGCUGCAACAAUGAAUCGAUAAACUGAUCAUCCUGGGACUUUGUAUCAUAGCCCUGCCCCAUUCGGUUGAGGGGCCGACCGCUGGGCCCGGAGAGGAACCCCACUGACGUCUGUGAAAAAGGAACUCAAGUGGCAUCUAGACUCUCUGGUAAAGGCUGCACGGGGGAAGGCUGCUGAGACACCGAUGCAAAGUUUGAGGCCGGGUGAUUUUGUGGUGAUUUGAGCCCUGAGGAGAAAGAGCUGGAGAGCGAAGCGCUGGUUGGGUCCGUUCCAAGUGCUACUGACCACUGAAGGUCGCAGAGAGGGCGAUAUGGGUUCAUGCUAGCCACGGCAGAAGGGGUUCCAUGACCUGAGGAGGAUACACGAGGGAGUAGGAGAGAAAGAGGGGCUCUGAAGCUGUCUGAAGAAAACAGCGAGUUGCUAUCUGCGUGAAGCAAGGUCACAGCUGUGGAGAAACAACAACACAGUCAAGAGGUGUGUGUGUGAAGCUGUAACUUCUGAGUUUAACACCAACAAAAGCACAGACCGGCGAAAGAAAGGGAGCAAGAAAAGAGAGUCGAAUUGCUCUGCUUGAACAUCAUCAAAGCUGAAGAUGGAUGAGAAGAUUCGUUGGCAUCAAUUCCAAGUGCGUGGAAUGUGUGGAUUGAGACGAACCACACUGAUGUUGCUAUUAUUAUCCCUGAAUGUUCUGCUGUUUUCGUUAACCUAAUUAUAGCAAAACCAGUUGUGACACUGUAGCCUACAUGAGAAUGUCAGUAAAAGUGCCUAAAAGAGCGAGCA